UGCUAGUGUAUGCAAUGGUGUCAGCAUUUGGAAGCUGAUUAUGGGAUGGAUCCCUGCAUAUGGCAAUCACUAGAUGGUCCAUCCUUUCGUCACAGCUACAAAUUUUGUCUCUGUAAUACACACUGUUUUAUAACCUUAUAUUUCUAACUAUAUCCACUUAUACAGAUAAAAUCUGUAAAAUGAUUUUUUUUUUUUUUUUUUUUACUGUGCUGGGGAAUUGAAUCCAGGGCCUUGCACAUGCUAGGCAAGCACUCUGCCACUGAGAUACAUCCCCACCCUCCGUUUAGGCAUUUUAUAGCCUUUCAAAGUGUUACAGAAUAAAAAUUGACAGAAAAUCAGUAUGUAUAUAUUCAGUGAGAAAAUAUGGAAAAGUAGUAACAGUGCUAAGGAGACAUGAGAGCAGACGACACUCUCUUCUCUACCGCAAAGGCUGUAGACACGGAAGGGCUAGAGGCCUGGACCUCUCGCUCCCCCUUAGUGUUUUCUCUUUGGCUUUACCUUUGCUUCUAGCCAUCCUCAGCACUGGCACUAUUUGUUUGUGAGGUAGUUUGAGAUAAACUAGUUCUUCCUCUAGUAAUGAGAGUACACCCUGUUCUUUUUAGUCUUCUCAUUUGUAAGUUGAUGAGUUGGUCCUAUAUAAUUUAAAACCUUGCCCAGUUAACUUGAUAUGAUAUUAAUUUAUUUCUUUGCCUACAAUGUAAAGGUUCAGACAGGUAACGUAAAAGAACAAGAAGAAAAAUAUCAGAGAAUUUAUUUUUCUGUCAUCCACAUCUUGAUUAUAAGAACUUAUGGCCAAACUAAUAAUUUUAUAUAGUUUGUAUAUAUAAAAUUUGUACUGAAACAGCUGAAGAAAAACAGAGCACUUUAUUGGCAUAACAUUUAUUAACAUGAUAUCCCUGAGAGGCAGACUAGGUAUAAACAUUAUUUUGCUUUAUAGGAAGAGAAACAGAAGCAGUUUAAGAUACAAGACAUUUGGAACCAUCUGUCUACUAAUACCCUUAUGCCUGUUUCCACAAUACUAUACAUAGACAGAUUAAUACUAAAGAUAAUAAUCUCAUCUUCCUUGACAUUGCAGUUCACAAUAAUCUCAUCUUCCUUGGCAUUGCAGUUCACUUCCAAAGCCGUCUCGGAUCCUGAGGCCCUGCGUUAGACAGGGGUUUCUUGUACCUUCUUGCUUGCUUAGGCAGCAUAAUUGAGAUACCAUUUUCCCUUUAUUGCUAAUGUUACUUCUUUGUUUACAAUUCCUCAGUACCAGAACCACAAUUAAUUACUCAUCCUAAUAAAUUUUAGGAUAGUCUUUCUCCUUGCUACUAUCUCAGAUCUUAAUAAAUGUGAAAAUUAGUUAUUCCAUGUCUUGGCCAUCUGGCCAUGGUCAUCUUUUCUCUGACCUGCUCAUCAAAGUAUCUUCAAUAGACAGUAAUUUCUGCUGUUUAUCUCCCAAAGGAGCUAGUCUCCUAAACUCACCUCCCAGAGCCAUGCUGCUUUCCUCUCAGCAGUAUCCACAGCUCAGUACAACUCAGGGUCUCCCUGUAGCUUUCCCUGUCUCUGCUAAUUGAUUCUCUGCAGACUCUACGGCUCUAUCAUGCAUUCUUAAGGUUUUUUCCUACUUCAAGCUUUAGUGAGCUUUAUAUUUUCUCCUCUUUUGCUUCACUGUUUUCCCAUUUCUCACCCACCUAGCAUCAGUUUUACAACUAGUUUUGGACAGUCUGCCCCACUCCAAUUUACCCAGUUACUUUCCUUCCUUUGAAUGCUGACUUUCUAGACUUUUCUCAGAGCAAGUUAUGUUAAAGAGUAUGUCUUGUGUAGUAACACUACUAGGCUUAGUAAAUGUCUUUAACCCAGUUGCCAGUUUUCAUGGUGAUGUACACCUGUACUUCUAUACUUGCAAUUUGAAGACUGAGGCAGUCGGAUCUCUGAGAUCAAGGGCAGUGAAAUCUCCAUAGUAAGCUACAGGUCGCCAGGGCUACGUAGUGAGACCCUGCCUUUCAAGAAAUAAUAAAUGUUGCAACU
rnacentral:lncRNA from 1 species